rnacentral:pre_miRNA from 1 species
UAAAUGCCGCAGCAGAGUGCAUAGAGGCUGUUGGAUCUAGGGGUAUUCCAGAUCCAACAGCCUCUAUGUACUCUGCAGUGGCAUUUA